rnacentral:rRNA from 1 species
UACGAGGGGGGCAAGCGUUUGUUCGGAAUUAUUGGGCGUAAAGGGCGCGUAGGCGGUCUGAUAAGUCUUGUGUGAAAUCUCUGGGCUCAACCCAGAGUCUGCAUAGGAAACUGUCGGGCUUGAGUAUGGGAGAGGUGCGUGGAAUUUCCGGUGUAGCGGUGAAAUGCGUAGAUAUCGGAAGGAACACCUGUGGCGAAAGCGGCGCACUGGACCAAAACUGACGCUGGAGGCGCG